GGGUUAGUGGCGGACGGGUGAGUAACGCGUGAGAAUCUGCCCUCAGGAGGGGGAUAACGGUUGGAAACGACCGCUAAUACCCCAUAUGCCGCGAGGUGAAAUGAAUUUCGCCUGAGGAUGAGCUCGCGUCUGAUUAGCUAGUUGGUGGGGUAAGAGCCUACCAAGGCUUCGAUCAGUAGCUGGUCUGAGAGGAUGAUCAGCCACACUGGGACUGAGACACGGCCCAGACUCCUACGGGAGGCAGCAGUGGGGAAUUUUCCGCAAUGGGCGAAAGCCUGACGGAGCAACGCCGCGUGAGGGAUGAAGGCCUCUGGGCUGUAAACCUCUUUUAUCAAGGAAGAAGAUCUGACGGUACUUGAUGAAUAAGCCACGGCUAAUUCCGUGCCAGCAGCCGCGGUAAUACGGGAGUGGCAAGCGUUAUCCGGAAUUAUUGGGCGUAAAGCGUCCGCAGGCGGUCUUACAAGUCUGUCGUUAAAGCGUGGAGCUUAACUCCAUUUCGGCGAUGGAAACUGUAAGACUAGAGUGUGGUAGGGGCAGAGGGAAUUCCCGGUGUAGCGGUGAAAUGCGUAGAUAUCGGGAAGAACACCAGUGGCGAAGGCGCUCUGCUGGGCCAUAACUGACGCUCAUGGACGAAAGCUAGGGGAGCGAAAGGGAUUAGAUACCCCUGUAGUCCUAGCCGUAAACGAUGAACACUAGGUGUCGGGGGAAUCGACCCCCUCGGUGUCGUAGCCAACGCGUUAAGUGUUCCGCCUGGGGAGUACGCACGCAAGUGUGAAACUCAAAGGAAUUGACGGGGGCCCGCACAAGCGGUGGAGUAUGUGGUUUAAUUCGAUGCAACGCGAAGAACCUUACCAGGGUUUGACAUCCUGCGAAUCCCUUGGAAACUUGGGAGUGCCUUCGGGAGCGCAGUGACAGGUGGUGCAUGGCUGUCGUCAGCUCGUGUCGUGAGAUGUUGGGUUAAGUCCCGCAACGAGCGCAACCCACGUCUUUAGUUGCCAGCAUUUAGUUGGGCACUCUAGAGAGACCGCCGGUGAUAAACCGGAGGAAGGUGUGGAUGACGUCAAGUCAUCAUGCCCCUUACAUCCUGGGCUACACACGUACUACAAUGCUACGGACAAAGGGCAGCAAACUCGCGAGAGCUAGCCAAUCCCAUAAACCGUGGCUCAGUUCAGAUCGUAGGCUGCAACUCGCCUACGUGAAGGAGGAAUCGCUAGUAAUCGCAGGUCAGCAUACUGCGGUGAAUACGUUCCCGGGCCUUGUACACACCGCCCGUCACACCAUGGAAGUUGGCCACGCCCGAAGUCGUUACUCCAACCCUUGUGGAGGAGGAUGCCGAAGGUGGGGCUGAUGACUGGGGUGAAAGUCGUAACAAGGUAGCCGUACCGGAAGGUGCGGCUGGAUCACCUCCUA
rnacentral:rRNA from 1 species